AAUCCAUAGGUUAAUGAGGCGAACCGGGGGAACUGAAACAUCUAAGUACCCCGAGGAAAAGAAAUCAACCGAGAUUCCCCCAGUAGCGGCGAGCGAACGGGGAGGAGCCCAGAGCCUGAAUCAGCAUGUGUGUUAGUGGAAGCGUCUGGAAAGGCGCGCGAUACAGGGUGACAGCCCCGUACACAAAAGCGCAUGUGCUGUGAGCUCGAUGAGUAGGGCGGGACACGUGGUAUCCUGUCUGAAUAUGGGGGGACCAUCCUCCAAGGCUAAAUACUCCUGACUGACCGAUAGUGAACCAGUACCGUGAGGGAAAGGCGAAAAGAACCCCGGCGAGGGGAGUGAAAAAGAACCUGAAACCGUGUACGUACAAGCAGUGGGAGCCCCACCACCAAAGCAUUUGCUGUACCGCGUUGACGGAGCGAAGC
rnacentral:rRNA from 2 species